UCCGUCGGAAUCUGGGAGGACCAUCUCCUAAGGCUAAAUACUCUCUAGUGACCGAUAGUGAACCAGUACCGUGAGGGAAAGGUGAAAAGCACCCCGGAAGGGGAGUGAAAUAGAACCUGAAACCGUGUGCUUACAAGUAGUCAGAGCCCGUUAAUGGGUGAUGGCGUGCCUUUUGUAGAAUGAACCGGCGAGUUACGAUUUGAUGCAAGGUUAAGCAGUAAAUGUGGAGCCGUAGCGAAAGCGAGUCUGAAUAGGGCGUUUAGUAUUUGGUCGUAGACCCGAAACCAGGUGAUCUACCCUUGGUCAGGUUGAAGUUCAGGUAACACUGAAUGGAGGACCGAACCGACUUACGUUGAAAAGUGAGCGGAUGAACUGAGGGUAGCGGAGAAAUUCCAAUCGAACCUGGAGAUAGCUGGUUCUCUCCGAAAUAGCUUUAGGGCUAGCCUCAAGUGAUGAUUAUUGGAGGUAGAGCACUGUUUGGACGAGGGGCCCCUCUCGGGUUACCGAAUUCAGACAAACUCCGAAUGCCAAUUAAUUUAACUUGGGAGUCAGAACAUGGGUGAUAAGGUCCGUGUUCGAAAGGGAAACAGCCCAGACCACCAGCUAAGGUCCCAAAAUAUAUGUUAAGUGGAAAAGGAUGUGGCGUUGCCCAGACAACUAGGAUGUUGGCUUAGAAGCAGCCAUCAUUUAAAGAGUGCGUAAUAGCUCACUAGUCGAGUGACACUGCGCCGAAAAUGUACCGGGGCUAAACAUAUUACCGAAGCUGUGGAUUGUCCUUUGGACAAUGGUAGGAGAGCGUUCUAAGGGCGUUGAAGCAUGAUCGUAAGGACAUGUGGAGCGCUUAGAAGUGAGAAUGCCGGUGUGAGUAGCGAAAGACGGGUGAGAAUCCCGUCCACCGAUUGACUAAGGUUUCCAGAGGAAGGCUCGUCCGCUCUGGGUUAGUCGGGUCCUAAGCUGAGGCCGACAGGCGUAGGCGAUGGAUAACAGGUUGAUAUUCCUGUACCACCUAUAAUCGUUUUAAUCGAUGGGGGGACGCAGUAGGAUAGGCGAAGCGUGCGAUUGGAUUGCACGUCUAAGCAGUAAGGCUGAGUAUUAGGCAAAUCCGGUACUCGUUAAGGCUGAGCUGUGAUGGGGAGAAGACAUUGUGUCUUCGAGUCGUUGAUUUCACACUGCCGAGAAAAGCCUCUAGAUAGAAAAUAGGUGCCCGUACCGCAAACCGACACAGGUAGUCAAGAUGAGAAUUCUAAGGUGAGCGAGCGAACUCUCGUUAAGGAACUCGGCAAAAUGACCCCGUAACUUCGGGAGAAGGGGUGCUCUUUAGGGUUAACGCCCAGAAGAGCCGCAGUGAAUAGGCCCAAGCGACUGUUUAUCAAAAACACAGGUCUCUGCUAAACCGUAAGGUGAUGUAUAGGGGCUGACGCCUGCCCGGUGCUGGAAGGUUAAGAGGAGUGGUUAGCUUCUGCGAAGCUACGAAUCGAAGCCCCAGUAAACGGCGGCCGUAACUAUAACGGUCCUAAGGUAGCGAAAUUCCUUGUCGGGUAAGUUCCGACCCGCACGAAAGGCGUAACGAUUUGGGCACUGUCUCAACGAGAGACUCGGUGAAAUCAUAGUACCUGUGAAGAUGCAGGUUACCCGCGACAGGACGGAAAGACCCCGUGGAGCUUUACUGUAGCCUGAUAUUGAAAUUCGGCACAGCUUGUACAGGAUAGGUAGGAGCCUUUGAAACGUGAGCGCUAGCUUACGUGGAGGCGCUGGUGGGAUACUACCCUAGCUGUGUUGGCUUUCUAACCCGCACCACUUAUCGUGGUGGGAGACAGUGUCAGGCGGGCAGUUUGACUGGGGCGGUCGCCUCCUAAAAGGUAACGGAGGCGCUCAAAGGUUCCCUCAGAAUGGUUGGAAAUCAUUCAUAGAGUGUAAAGGCAUAAGGGAGCUUGACUGCGAGACCUACAAGUCGAGCAGGGUCGAAAGACGGACUUAGUGAUCCGGUGGUUCCGCAUGGAAGGGCCAUCGCUCAACGGAUAAAAGCUACCCCGGGGAUAACAGGCUUAUCUCCCCCAAGAGUUCACAUCGACGGGGAGGUUUGGCACCUCGAUGUCGGCUCAUCGCAUCCUGGGGCUGUAGUCGGUCCCAAGGGUUGGGCUGUUCGCCCAUUAAAGCGGUACGCGAGCUGGGUUCAGAACGUCGUGAGACAGUUCGGUCCCUAUCCGUCGUGGGCGUAGGAAAUUUGAGAGGAGCUGUCCUUAGUACGAGAGGACCGGGAUGGACAUACCUCUGGUGUACCAGUUGUCGUGCCAACGGCAUAGCUGGGUAGCUAUGUGUGGACGGGAUAAGUGCUGAAAGCAUCUAAGCAUGAAGCCCCCCUCAAGAUGAGAUUUCCCAACUUCGGUUAUAAGAUCCCUCAAAGAUGAUGAGGUUAAUAGGUUCGAGGUGGAAGCAUGGUGACAUGUGGAGCUGACGAAUACUAAUCGAUCGAAGACUUAAUCAA
rnacentral:rRNA from 1 species